rnacentral:lncRNA from 1 species
CUGUGUCUCCUUUGUCACCACCAGGCCCCUAGAAAAGUAUAAUGAUACACUCUGUUGUAAACAUCCUUUUAUAUUUAGUCUACAGUAUCCAUUUCAACAGGCCUGUUGCUUAAUUAUAAAAGUAGUGAUGUGAAGAAAAGGGAGGACCUGGACCCAAAGCACACAUGUACACUCUAAACUCAAUGCUAGCAUUUAGCUAGAUAACUAGGUCAGCAAGUUUCAUCAUUGCUUUGGUAAACUGUAACAACAUGGUGUCAGAGAUUAUGUAAUUUUUGAAGCAUUCUUCCUGCCCCACCUCCACCCUAUUUUCAUCUCCAAUUUUAUAUGAGUGAACUUACAGUAGGCCCUGGGGGUCCCUGAGGUCCAGUUUCACCAUUCUUUCCAGGAGGACCCUAAAAACAAGAACAGUUAGGGAAGUAGAAAUAAUACAGAUUACAGAGAGAAGUCAGAAGGUUGGAGAUGAACGCAUCUAUUAGAAGGCUAGAAAUAAAUUGAGGAAAGCUACGUACCUGAGGGCCAGGUCCUCCAGGGCCACCUCGUUCUCCAUUCUUACCAGGAGCACCCUAAAGAA